GACGAACGCUGGCGGCGUGCUUAACACAUGCAAGUCGAGCGAUGAAGCUUCUUCGGAAGUGGAUUAGCGGCGGACGGGUGAGUAACACGUGGGUAACCUGCCUUAUAGUGGGGAAUAGCCUUUCGAAAGGAAGAUUAAUACCCCAUAAGAUUGUAGUUUUGCAUGAAACAGCAAUUAAAGGAGCAAUUCGCUAUAAGAUGGACCCGCGGCGCAUUAGCUAGUUGGUGAGGUAACGGCUCACCAAGGCGACGAUGCGUAGCCGACCUGAGAGGGUGAUCGGCCACAUUGGGACUGAGACACGGCCCAGACUCCUACGGGAGGCAGCAGUGGGGAAUAUUGCACAAUGGGGGAAACCCUGAUGCAGCAACGCCGCGUGAGUGAUGACGGUCUUCGGAUUGUAAAGCUCUGUCUUUAGGGACGAUAAUGACGGUGCCUAAGGAGGAAGCCACGGCUAACUACGUGCCAGCAGCCGCCGUAACAC
rnacentral:rRNA from 1 species